CAGAUCCCACAAAAAGAGAAUUAUGUCUUAUUUUGAACAAGAGAAUGUUGCAACAAGGGAGGCUUUAGCUCUUCUCCAAGGACAAAUGGGUACCAUUUUGGAACAUCUGCAGACUCAGAGGGACAAUGUUGUUGUUGUCAAUCAAGUUGAUAUUACUCUAGUGACUUUUGCUGCUGACAAGACUUUGGUUGUGAUGGAUCUUGUAGCGGGAAAUUCAUGAUCAUUAAGCUAUUAACAAGCUAAAGAUCAAUUAACA
rnacentral:lncRNA from 1 species